rnacentral:lncRNA from 1 species
GGCUGUGAGCAGGCAGGACUGCCCUCCCGAAGCAGGUGCAGAACGAGCAUUUGGGGAAGGAGAAGACACGUGUCCGCACCUGCAGCUGGUGGGGUGGGAGGGUGAGCUGCCUGCAGGGUGGUGGGGGGCAGCCCGGGGGGGCUCCUGAGGAUGCACAGCUCCCUCCCAAGGCCAGGGCUCUGGGCACUGGGGUCCAGGAGAGAGUUUUGCUCUGCCCAUGGCCAACAGGUAGGUGCCCAGAUGCUGUUCUGUGGUGGAGUGAGGGGACCUUAUUCCCUGGGGCCCAGAGGAUGCCCAGCUCUGCCAAGGGCCUUGAAUGACUCCAUCAGAGGAGGUCCGGAGCCCCAGGGCCAUUCCCUGAUUCCUGUCACUUUCCCAGGAUGCCCUCCCUCACCGGGUCGGCUCCCAGCUCCCCUUGGAGUGAGGAGGGCUGGACCCCACUGAGUCCAUCGCAGACCCCAGCUGGCCGGGCGCAUGGCUUCCCGUCUCCUCUCUGGGCUUGGUCCUCUUGUGUGAGGGGUCACGGCCCAGGCACCCAUCUCCUCUGGGUUGAGGCUGGAGGGUGUCUCCGGGAAGCCCCUACGAGUGCAAAACCUUGCUGUUGAUCUCAAGACCCCGGGCGGAGACGGGAGGAGGAGGGUGGAGGAACGAAGACCAGAUUCCUGGAGGACGAUUCUGUUGAGCCUCCAAUUCCCUGGACUGAUUAUUUGCUUAAGUCAGAACUCCCGGCCGGAUGGGGCUGGGGCCAGGAGAUCAGGGAGAGGGUUCUUUCCUGGACAGGUCUGCUUAUCCCAAGGGCCAAUUAGCAGUAGCAGAGCCUCAGCAGGAGCUUGCUUGUCCUGGGAGCAGGGGUGAGCUUAUCUGCUCCGAGGGGUGCCCUGCCGGGCCUCGGGGCCUUGGAGAGGGGCCGGCUCCGUUCUCCGUCUCCUGGAAAGCCAAGGUGGGAGGUAGCAUCUGGAAUUAGAUGCGGUUGAGGAUGCUUCCUGACUGGGAGGGGGUUUUGCUCCUCCCUGGGACCACAGCAGGACAUUUGAAGCACCAGGAUCCCAGCGGGGGCCUGUGGGGAGGCAUGGCCAUUUCUAAAUGAGGCUCUGGGUACCUGGUGGCCCAUGGAGCGGGGCUCUGGGAAUUGCCUCCUGCGAGCGGCCAUUGGAGGGGGAGGUAUUACCCCCACCGGUGUCCUCAGCCAGUCCCUCCUGGAGUCCUCAGAGCCCUCAACAGGCUCUCACCUGGCCCUCCGCUGCCAGGGCUGGACCAGAGGCUCUUCAGGAGCUUGUGCUCUUCCGCCCCCAGAGCUCCAGCCUGGACGCCUUGGAACUGGCCGUCCUGAGCUGGACAGCCAAGAUGCGAUGGUGGCUGUGCUGGGCUCCAGCCCAUGGUGGCCUCCAAGGUGGUGCUGGGGCCUUAGGGGAAAGGGUUGCUUUUCAUGGCUGGCUGAGGGGAUGGCAGAGCUGUCCUCCGUUCCGCCUCCUUUACCCAUGGAUGCGGCCGCAUGCGGGUCUCCAUCAUUGUCCUAUCCUUGACCAUCUGGCUAAGACUCAGGGACCCACAGCAGCCGCUCCCCCACUGGCUGUCUGGGAAAAGGCCCACAUUGCCGGGCACACACCAGGGUGGCCAGGGAUUGGUCACUGCCUGAAUGUCCCCGGACCGAUGCCCGUGUGCCCUUGGGCAGCCUUCCCCUCGGACAGGCUGUCCAGGCUGGGAAACCCUGAGCCAGAGGGAUUAAGAAGAAAGGACAGAGUCGACUGUCCCCUUGGCUAAUUUGUGCUUCAUUUAGUGUAAUUUUGCUCAGUGGUCAAAACAUAGAGGUGAUGACACCGAGGGUCCAGACAUGUCCCAUCUCCAGGGCCAACCUCCUGCAGAUCCCCAGCCCCGCCCAGCCCUGCCUGCUGCGCCCUGGGCCUGCCUCUGCCCUCACAGCCAUCCUGUACAUUCCUGUGUCUCAGUGGCGGGGGAUAGGGGGUGGGGGAAGGGUCUCCGAUACACCAGGGGGUGCAGGGACCCUCAGCAUGGGUGCCCAGGCAGCUCUCUAUGGAAAUGCAGGAUUGGGUCAGGACCCCAGAGCUGUGCAGGGCCCUCUGUCCCCAGCCCAAGUCCUGAGUCCCUCUUGCCAGCCUCUGCUGCUCCGCGUGUGGUAGGAGCUACCAGUCUGGGGUCCGGGCUGGGCGCAUUCAUGAUGCCUGCCUGGGGUCUGAGCAAAUCCUCCCCACGGGGUCUGAGCAAGUCCUCCCCACGGGGUCUGAGCAAAUCCUCCCCACGGGGUCUGAGCAUGUCCUCCCCACGGGGUCUGAGCAAAUCCUCCCCACGGGGUCUGAGCAAGUCCUCCCCAUGGGGCCUGAGCAAAUCCUCCCCACGGGGUCUGAGCAUGUCCUCCCCACGGGGUCUGAGCAAAUCCUCCCCACGGGGUCUGAGCAAAUCCUCCCCAUGGGGUCUGAGCAAAUCCUUCCUAUGCCGUCUGAGCAAGUCCUCCCCAUGGGUUCUGAGCAUGUCCUCCCCACAGGGUCUGAGCAAGUCCUCCCCACGGGGUCUGAGCAAGUCCUCCCCACGGGGUCUGAGCAUGUCCUCCCCACGGGGUCUGAGCAAGUCCUCCCCACGGGGUCUGAUCAUGUCCUCCCCACGGGGUCUGAGCAUGUCCUCUCCACGGGGUCUGAGCAAGUCCUCCCCAUGGGGUCUGAGCAUGUCCUCCCCACGGGGUCUGAGCAAGUCCUCCCCACGGGGUCUAUGUCCUCCCCACGGGGUCUGAGCAUGUCCUCCCCAUGGGUUCUGAGCAAGUCCUCCCCAUGGGGUCUGAGCAAGUCCUCCCCACGGGGUCUGAGCAAAUCCUCCCCAUGGGGUCUGAGCAAAUCCUUCCUAUGCCGUCUGAGCACAUCCUCCCCAAGCUGUGACCGAGUGUCCCUCCUGCAGGUGGAGGAUGUUGCUAGGAUGCACCUUGAAGGCACCCCAGCCUCGCCGGAGCGCCCCCUCCUCGUAGCCUGGGGUGUGGCUGGGUGGUCUGGGGUCCUGGGUGCCUUGUGAUGCUGGCCCCAGGGUCCACUCAGCACCGUCCUGGUGUCGUCAUCAGCUGGAGGCUUCCCGGGGCCUGUGCUGGGGGUGGAGAGCAGGGAGAGGCAGCAGGGUUCUCCUCAGGGUGGGGUUGCUGGGAAGCACCAUCCCACCUGUCAGACUGGCCUUGACUGUAGACACCCCAGGUGACCUGGAAGGACAGACGGACCCCAGGUGAUGAGAAAGGACCAGAGUCUGACCUCUCACCCCUCCUAAGCUCUGAACUCCCGUUGGCUUGCCUGACCUCCAAGUCCUCCUGGGGCUGAACCCUCUACAGAUGCCCCUCCUGGGCCCUGGGGUGGGCCCGGUUUAGCUCUCCAUUGUGGCUGAAACCCCCAGGGCUUCAGUGCUGGCUUGAAGAGGGGGUGGGGCUCCCCAGGCGUGGGGAUUGGCAGUUUUUUCCUCCCCUCUUCCCAAACUUUCAGACUGGACCACUUAAGAAUAAUGAGGUCCAGGUGGUUCCGCUUGAGCCUGGAUCCUCACUGGCUGUGGGACUGAGCUUCCCCUGCCGGUCCCACCUCCCACCGGGAGCAGCUAAUGACAGCCAGAGGCUGGAAGGUGAAGCUCCCCUCGGCUGUCAGGCGGGCCGCAGGGCAGGGGCUGGGCAGGCCAAGGGCGCCACUCUCCUGCCCAGGCCAGGGCACCCGAUCACUGCACCACACCCCUUGUGGCCGUCUGUCCAGCCAGGGCCCUGCUGCAGGUGCUUCCCGUGGGACUGUAGGGAGAACAAUCAAGACUUCUGCCUCCUUGGUCGAGCAGGGCUGCCUCCCCAUCUCAUCUACUGGCAAGGAGGCUGGGCACCUUCAGGGAGCUUCAGUUUGGGAAGAGGGAGGAGGUCUGAGGUGGAUGGUGGCGAUGGCUGCGCAGCAGUGAGAAUGGACUGAGUGCCACUGAUGUGUGUGCUCCAUGGCUCCGUGGCUCCGUGGCUCCGUGGCUCAGUGGCUCAAUGGCUAUAAUGGCUAGUUUUGUUACAUAUUUUCACCAUAAUAAAACAAAACAUGUCCAAGGUGCUACAAGGAGGGAGGAGCCCCUGGAGCACCCGCCUGCCAUCUCCCAUCUGCCAGGCAGCAUCCCUCCACUGGCUCUCUGGGAGGGGUUCCAGGCCUCCAGCCUCCCUGUGGCCCCCAUCUGCCUCCAGGAGAUUUGUUCCCUCUCUCCUGCCCCGAAACCCUCGAGGCAGCCCUGCUCUUGGUCACUGCAGAGGAAGUGGCCCAGGCUUGGCCCAGGCCAGCUGUGGCCUCUGGAGGCAAGAUGUGGGGACUCACAGUGUUCGAAGGCCACACCCCCCCGAGCACAUGGGCUCCAGUGCCUCUGAGGCAAAGAGCAGGCAGCACCGUGCGCACAGCAGUGGGAGACACAGCACAGCCACCAGGGCAGCCCCCAGGCAGACGGCGGGCCUAGAGAGGGCGGGAUGACACAAGAAAGGUUCUCCUUUGGAGACGGCGAGGUCAGGCAGGUGGGAGAGGGUUCACGGUGCUUGAGGUGCAGAGAGAGGAUGGUGGAAUGGAAAACGUAGGGUGACUUGUCGGGGACAGGCCCAGGGCCACAACUCGGGCAGGCCUAUUGCCCGAGUUUUGGGUCCCAUCCUGGCAGGCAGGGGAGAGAAUUCUGAAUUUUUUAAUGAAACGGAUAGUUGAGGGCUGG